GCGGACGUGGCGAAAUUGGCAGACGCACUACCUUGAGGUGGUAGCGAUCGCAAGAUCUUGUGGGUUCAAAUCCCUCCGUCCGCA
rnacentral:tRNA from 1 species